UACGGAGGGUGCGAGCGUUGUCCGGAAUCACUGGGCGUAAAGGGUGCGUAGGCGGUCGUGCAAGUCGGAUGUGAAAUCUCAGGGCUCAACCCUGAAACUGCAUUCGAUACUGCGCGGCUAGAGUGCUGGAGGGGAGACUGGAAUUCCUGGUGUAGCGGUGAAAUGCGCAGAUAUCAGGAGGAACACCGGUGGCGAAGGCGGGUCUCUGGGCCGAUACUGACGCUGAGGAGCGAAAGCGUGGGGAGCGAACAGG
rnacentral:rRNA from 1 species